rnacentral:tRNA from 2 species
UGUGUCCAUAGCUCAGCUGGAUAGAGCAACGGCCUUCUAAGCCGUGGGUCGGGGGUUCGAAUCCCUUUGGGCACGU